rnacentral:rRNA from 1 species
UGGCUCAGAUUGAACGCUGGCGGCAGGCUUAACACAUGCAAGUCGAGCGGGGGAAGGUAGCUUGCUACUGGACCUAGCGGCGGACGGGUGAGUAAUGCUUAGGAAUCUGCCUAUUAGUGGGGGACAACAUCUCGAAAGGGAUGCUAAUACCGCAUACGUCCUACGGGAGAAAGCAGGGGAUCUUCGGACCUUGCGCUAAUAGAUGAGCCUAAGUCGGAUUAGCUAGUUGGUGGGGUAAAGGCCUACCAAGGCGACGAUCUGUAGCGGGUCUGAGAGGAUGAUCCGCCACACUGGGACUGAGACACGGCCCAGACUCCUACGGGAGGCAGCAGUGGGGAAUAUUGGACAAUGGGGGGAACCCUGAUCCAGCCAUGCCGCGUGUGUGAAGAAGGCCUUAUGGUUGUAAAGCACUUUAAGCGAGGAGGAGGCUACUUUAGUUAAUACCUAGAGAUAGUGGACGUUACUCGCAGAAUAAGCACCGGCUAACUCUGUGCCAGCAGCCGCGGUAAUACAGAGGGUGCGAGCGUUAAUCGGAUUUACUGGGCGUAAAGCGUGCGUAGGCGGCUUAUUAAGUCGGAUGUGAAAUCCCCGAGCUUAACUUGGGAAUUGCAUUCGAUACUGGUGAGCUAGAGUAUGGGAGAGGAUGGUAGAAUUCCAGGUGUAGCGGUGAAAUGCGUAGAGAUCUGGAGGAAUACCGAUGGCGAAGGCAGCCAUCUGGCCUAAUACUGACGCUGAGGUACGAAAGCAUGGGGAGCAAACAGGAUUAGAUACCCUGGUAGUCCAUGCCGUAAACGAUGUCUACUAGCCGUUGGGGCCUUUGAGGCUUUAGUGGCGCAGCUAACGCGAUAAGUAGACCGCCU